GCUCUCCAGAAAACACCUCGUGUCUCCUUUUCUCCAUUUGGACCCCGCUCUCCAGAAAACGCCUCAACAUUUCCCUUUCUCCAUUUGAAUCCCGUUCUCCAGAAAAUGCCUCAACAUUUCCCCUUCUCCAUUUGAACCCCGUUCUCCAAUUUCUCGUGAUAAUUCCGCUGACAACGUCGGAAAUAACACCAAACACCACUCUGAGGGCGACAUAUCAGAGGGUUCACCUUCACAAAAGGAAGGUAACAUGUGC
rnacentral:lncRNA from 1 species